UAGAGUUUGAUCAUGGCUCAGAUUAAACGCUGGCGGCAUGCCUUACACAUGCAAGUCGAACGGCAGCACGGGGGCAACCCUGGUGGCGAGUGGCGGACGGGUGAGUAAAGCAUCGGAACGUAUCCUGGAGUGGGGGAUAACGUAGCGAAAGUUACGCUAAUACCGCAUAUUCUGUAAGCAGGAAAGCAGGGGAUCGCAAGACCUUGCGCUCUGGGAGCGGCCGAUGUCGGAUUAGCUAGUUGGUGGGGUAAAGGCCUACCAAGGCGACGAUCCGUAGCGGGUCUGAGAGGAUGAUCCGCCACACUGGGACUGAGACACGGCCCAGACUCCUACGGGAGGCAGCAGUGGGGAAUUUUGGACAAUGGGCGCAAGCCUGAUCCAGCCAUGCCGCGUGAGUGAAGAAGGCCUUCGGGUUGUAAAGCUCUUUCGGCAGGAACGAAACGGUCGUCUCUAACAUAGACGGCUAAUGACGGUACCUGAAGAAGAAGCACCGGCUAACUACGUGCCAGCAGCCGCGGUAAUACGUAGGGUGCGAGCGUUAAUCGGAAUUACUGGGCGUAAAGCGUGCGCAGGCGGCUUUGUAAGACAGGUGUGAAAUCCCCGGGCUUAACCUGGGAACUGCGCUUGUGACUGCAAGGCUUGAGUGCGGCAGAGGGGGGUGGAAUUCCACGUGUAGCAGCGAAAUGCGUAGAGAUGUGGAGGAACACCGAUGGCGAAGGCAGCCCCCUGGGUCGACACUGACGCUCAUGCACGAAAGCGUGGGGAGCAAACAGGAUUAGAUACCCUGGUAGUCCACGCCCUAAACGAUGUCGACUGGUUGUUGGGAGGGU
rnacentral:rRNA from 1 species